AAGAACGCCCCGUUUUUUGAAAUGGGUAAUUCCCAAACCGUGUCUAUAUACCUUUGUUGCUUUGGCAGGUCGCCUUCUAGGAGGCGUCGGCUUCGGCCGACUGCGCCUGCCAGAGGACCCAAACUCGUUUGUUUAGUGAUGUCUGAGUACUAUAUAAUAGUUA
rnacentral:misc_RNA from 1 species